rnacentral:rRNA from 1 species
CAGGCCUAACACAUGCAAGUCGAACGCCCCGCAAGGGGAGUGGCAGACGGGUGAGUAACACGUGGGAACGUACCCUUUGGUUCGGAACAACCCUGGGAAACUAGGGCUAAUACCGGAUACGCGCGAGAGCGGAAAGGUUUACCGCCGAAGGAUCGGCCCGCGUCUGAUUAGCUAGUUGGUGAGGUAACGGCUCACCAAGGCGACGAUCAGUAGCUGGUCUGAGAGGAUGAUCAGCCACAUUGGGACUGAGACACGGCCCAAACUCCUACGGGAGGCAGCAGUGGGGAAUAUUGGACAAUGGGCGCAAGCCUGAUCCAGCCAUGCCGCGUGAGUGAUGACGGCCCUAGGGUUGUAAAGCUCUUUUACCUGGGAAGAUAAUGACGGUACCGGGAGAAUAAGCCCCGGCUAACUUCGUGCCAGCAGCCGCGGUAAU